CAGCCGCCGCGGUAAAACCAGCACCUCGAGUGGCCAGGAGGUUUAUUGGGCCUAAAGCAUCCGUAGCCGGUUGCAUAAGUUUUCGGUUAAAUCUAUGCGCUUAACGUAUAGGCCGCCGAAAAUACUGUGCAGCUAGGGAGUGGGAGAGGUACACGGUACUCGAUAGGAAGGGGUAAAAUCCUUUGAUCUAUUGAUGACCACCUGUGGCGAAGGCGGUGUACCAGAACACGUUCGACGGUGAGGGAUGAAAGCUGGGGGAGCAAACCGGAUUAGAUACCCCCGUAGUCCCUGUCUCUUAUAU
rnacentral:rRNA from 1 species